CUACGGGUGGCUGCAGCUGGGAAUCUUGCGCAAUGGGCGAAAGCCUGACGCAGCGACACCGCGUGUGGGAUUAAGCUUCUAGGAGUGUAAACCACUGUGGCGAGGGAACAAUUUUUGAGUGUACCUCGCUAGAAAGCACCUGCUAACUACGUGCCAGAAGCCUCGGUAAUACGUAGGGUGCAAGCGUUAUCCGGAAUCACUGGGCGUAAAGCGUCCGUCGGCGGUUAUACAAGUCUUUCGUUUAAGACCAAGGCUCAACUUUGGAAAAGCGGGGGAAACUGUAUGACUUGAGUCUAUUCGGGGAAACUGGAAUUCUCGGUGGAGGGGUGAAAUCCGUAGAUAUCGAGAGGAACGCCAAUAGUGAAAACAAGUUUCUAGGGUAGCACUGACGCUCAUGGACGAAAGCUAGGGUAGCAAAAGGGAUUAGAUACCCUAGUAGUC
rnacentral:rRNA from 1 species